rnacentral:lncRNA from 1 species
UCAGCUUGUAAUCGGCUAGCUUCAAGGCAGAGUGGCAGAGGGGCAACAGUUCAUGGUGGUGGAAGACAGUAGAAGCAACAAAGGAAGGAGAGGGACCCUCAACAGCAUCUUGCUGCCCCCUUUAUCUUAUGCAGAUCACUUAGGGCGGGCAGGACUCACUCCCUCCCUCCAUCCUAGUGCCCUUGAGCCUAGCAUCGCACCCAGGAAUCUAUUCCAGAAAAAGCCCAACCUACAACUGCAUGAGGCUUUGGGGGAACAACAAGACACAGCCAUAACAGUGCUCGAUGCAGAAGGCCUCGUCUGCAGCGUGGUCAGCACUUGGGCCAUCCCCCCGCUCGGAGGCCCUGCUCUUCAGCAGGGUAAUGUUCUUGGUCUGGGCUCCCUCCAAGGUUGCGAUGGAUGUGACCAGUGUAUCUCUGAAAGAGCCACCAAGCCUUCAGGAUCUUAGAGGAUCUCAGCAGCUCCCACCUGACGUGUCCCACAUCUCCAAAAGGGCUCCGAGGCCCAGAGCUGCAAGGUGAGAGCUUCAACCCUGGAGUUAGGCUCUGGCUCUUUCCCAAAAUAAAUCAAGCUGUUGAUCGGCGGGGGAGAUUGCAGGUAAUGUGGGGGAGGGGCUAGCCUUCAACUCAGCCCCUGGCCUCAAUGGCUGCGUUGUGCCUGGUACCCUGCCUCACCUACUUUGCAAUUCUAGUAAGUUGUAUGAAUCUCAGGUCCUGGGGCACUGGGCCCCACUGUACCCAACUCCAGGGAAGGCUG